AAUUCCGAGACAGGCGCUGCAUGGCUGUCGUCAGCUCGUGCCGUGAGGUGUUGGGUAAGUCCCGCAACGAGCGCAACCCCUAUUGCCAGUUGCUACCAGGUAAUGCUGGGCACUCUGGUGAGACUGCCCCGGUUAACGGGGAGGAAGGUGGGGACGACGUCAAGUCAUCAUGGCCCUUACGCCUAGGGCUACACACGUACUACAAUGGCGCAUACAAAGGGCAGCGAUACCGCGAGGUGGAGCCAAUCCCAAAAGGUGCGUCCCAGUCCGGAUUGCAGUCUGCAACUCGACUGCAUGAAGUUGGAAUCGCUAGUAAUUCGAGAUCAGCAUGCUCGGGUGAAUGCGUUCCCGGGCCUU
rnacentral:rRNA from 1 species